rnacentral:rRNA from 1 species
CUUCUUGUUUUGUUAUGAAGUCUUGCCUGCCCACUGAUUAAUUGAAGGGCCGCGGUAUUUUGACCGUGCAAAGGUAGCAUAAUCAUUAGUCUUUUAAUUGUGGACUUGUAUGAAUGGUUUGACGAGGUGAAAACUGUCUCUUAAAUAUUUUAGGAAUUUUACUUUUGAGUUAAAAGGCUCAAUUUUUAAUAGGGGACGAGAAGACCCUAUAGAUCUUUACUUUUUUAGUAUAAUUUUUUGUUAGUUAGUGGAUUAUUAAUUAUUUUGAAGGAGUUUUGUUGGGGUGACAAGGGAAUUGAAUUAGCUUCUUGAUGAUAAUACUUUUAUUGGUGGAAUAUUGAUCCUUUAUUAUGGAUGAUAGAUUAAGAUACCUUAGGGAUAACAGCGUUAUUUUAUUUGAGAGUUCUUAUUGACAAUAAAGAUUGCGACCUCGAUGUUGGAUUAAGAUUAUAUUUUGGUGUAGUUGCUAAGUUGGUUGGUCUGUUC